rnacentral:rRNA from 1 species
UCCGAGUUGUAAUUUGUAGAGGAUGUUUCGGGUACCGCCUCGGUUUAAAUUUCUUGGAACAGAAUGUCAAAGAGGGUGAGAAUCCCGUCUUGGACCGGUGGUAGGGCCUAUGUGAAACUCCUUCGACGAGUCGAGUUGUUUGGGAAUGCAGCUCAAAAUGGGUGGUAAAUUUCAUCUAAAGCUAAAUAUUGGCCAGAGACCGAUAGCGCACAAGUAGAGUGAUCGAAAGAUGAAAAGCACUUUGAAAAGAGAGUUAAACAGUAUGUGAAAUUGUUGAAAGGGAAGCGCUUGCAACCAGACUUGAGCGCGGCGGUUCCCCCUUGCUUCUGCUUGGGUUACUCCGCCGUGUCCAGGCCAACAUCGGUUCUGGGGGUCGGUCAAAGGCCUUGGGAAUGUAUCUACCCACGGGUAGACUUAUAGACCAGGGUGUCAUGCGACCUCCCGGGACCGAGGAACGCGCUUCGGCUCGGAUGUUGGCGUAAUGGUUGUCAGCGACCCGUCUUGAAACACGGACCAAGGAGUCUAACAUCUAUGCGAGUGUUUGGGUGUCAAACCCGGAACGCGGAAUGAAAGUGAACGGAGGUAGGAAGCUUCGGCUGCACUAUCGACCGAUCCUGAAGUUUACGGAUGGAUUUGAGUAAGAGCAUAGCUGUUGGGACCCGAAAGAUGGUGAACUAUGCCUGAAUAGGGUGAAGCCAGAGGAAACUCUGGUGGAGGCUCGCAGCGGUUCUGACGUGCAAAUCGAUCGUCAAAUUUAGGUAUAGGG